GCUGCUCUCAAGGCAGCAUCACAGACCUGCAGCCUAUGCUCCCGCACAACACCUGUUUAUUUAUGGAUACGCUGGCCUACUUUUCUCAGUCUCUACAUGUGGAAUGGGAGAAUUUAUCUUUUAUCUGCAGCCGUACUUUACAUGACUUGUAUUUAUACUCAUAUUUAUCAGAAAUCUGUGUAUGAGGCAGGAUUGUCUAGCUGUGUUAGGGUGUUGGGACUCACAUAUGAAAGGUUCUGGAUAUUCAACCCUGGUGUCUGUGGUCUGACCUGCUUGGUAUCCUCGAGCAAGAUUACCCAUACUUACUUACCCCUAUUUACUCCUUAAUUGACAUGAGUCUGAAUUCACUGUAAGUCAUAUUGGAUGAAAGCCUCUGAUCUUAGUAGACACGUGGCUUUUCGCUAUUGUAUGUAUGUCUUUUGUAAAUGAUCAUGAUGUUAUUUGGUCCACUUAUGCCCUAUAUAAUAGGGCCCUUAGAGUGUCAACAAUUUGUAAUGUUGUCCGAAUGGUGAGUGUACAAAUAUGGGACCAUACAUAGUGCACUGCUUAAUACCCACAAUGCACCGUUAAAUAAGUGUACACCUGAUCAUGGACCUAUUAAAGAAAGGACAGCGGACUAAAACAUGGCCGCCCAUUCAUUACUAUGAAAACUGCUCAAUGGCGCAGGGGAACAUCAAGGAGAGAUUUGCUUCCGCAUCCUGGGCGCCUAGCCACGCCCUGGUGCAUGACGUGCCGGAUGCAUAAAUAUUCUCGUUAACUAGCAUUGUUAGCAUUGUAGCAUCAUGAGUGAGAGGUCUGAGCGAGCACAGUCACAUUGUUUACCGACCAUGGAAGUACAAGUUACUAACCCCCCGGAUUAUUCUCUAUAUGUGAUCUUUGAAUUACACUCCUCCUGCCAUCUGGACAACAAUUAUUAUGCAACAAUUAUUUUGCCCAGCCGAAACAACAUUUCUUUCACUACGACUCCUUUCAGCUGCCCACCCCUCCUU